GGAAAGAAUGUUUGGAGGAUUGAGUGGACCCUGGAGGAUAUUUUCUCCAAGACACUUUUGAUAAAAGCAGCUUUAUAGGAGUGGCUCUGGAAGCUGGAGAUAGUAAUCUGUGAGCAACCUCAAUACAUAAGAAUGAGAAACUACUUCUGUUUUGAUGUUUUUUUCCCUUAAAUGAUCUAACUGAAUAGGACUAUGGCAAAGAGCUCAUCCUACCAAGGCCAACUUGGUAGUAGGCCACCUUGAUGCUAUCAAUUUUGCAUUCCCAGCUGGUGUCCUUGUGUGGUUUUAAUAGGACGUCCUGCGCGUGGCCCUUACAAACUCCCCACUGCUUGCUGAGAUGGAUUAAAAGAUGCAAACUCACUGAAAUACGCCAAGGAAUAUAAUGGUCUCUACAGAAGAUCUGGCUGUGUCAACCAACAAAAAGUUCCAGCUGUGGCAGCCGUGUGGAACAAAGGGAACUCUUGGCUUAAUGUGGAGUACAUGCUUCUGACGUUCCAGUUCAGGCAAGAAAUAAAUAAAGCUAUUACAAAGCCCUUGA